GGGGCCGUAGCUCAGUUGGUAGAGCGCUUCGUUCGCAAUGAAGAGGUCGGGAGUUCGAAUCUCCUCGGUUCCACCA
rnacentral:tRNA from 1 species